GCCCUCCCACGCCGACUUCUUCAACUCCUUUCCCGACGACUUCGACGACCAAGACCUCGCCUGACCGGCUCCCACCAACCCCGAACUCCUCACCAGUCACCAGGGUGUCAGAAUGAACAAAAUAAUUGUUUGCUUGACAAGUAUGUUAAUGCGCCAUUAGACAAAGGAGCAGUCGGCUGUCUCCGUGUACUCCUGUUGGAUCUCCCUCUCACCUCCACUACAACUUGAGAGCUCAACAUAAUAAACAAUGAAAUAUAUAGAGGGUGAUUUUCUCUCGAUAUGAGAAGGCGUUGGAGUGUAUUUUUAUUUUA